CAAUAGCGUAUAUUAAAGUUGUUGCGGUUAAAGAGCUCGUAGUUGGAUUUCUGCCGAGGACGACCGGUCCGCCCUCCGGGUGAGUAUCUGGUUUGGCCUGGGCAUCUUCUUGGAGAACGUAGCUGCACUUGACUGUGUGGUGCGGUGUCCAGGACUUUUACUUUGAGGAAAUUAGAGUGUUUCAAGCAGGCACACGCCUUGAAUACAUUAGCAUGGAAUAAUAAGAUAGGACCUCGGUUCUAUUUUGUUGGUUUCUAGAGCUGAGGUAAUGAUUAAUAGGGAUAGUUGGGGGCAUUCGUAUUUAACUGUCAGAGGUGAAAUUCUUGGAUUCGUUAAAGACGGACUACUGCGAAAGCAUUUGCCAAGGAUGUUUUCAUUAA
rnacentral:rRNA from 1 species